rnacentral:lncRNA from 10 species
GGGAGCAUAAGCUGGUUCAACCAUUCCACACAUCGACAUACUUUAUGACUCAGCUGUUCUAGUCUAACGUAUGUUCCUGAAUUAUGUGUGUGUAUAUAUGUCAUAUAUAUACACAUCAUACAUAUAUACUUACACACUCACAAUAUAUAUUCACAUAUAUUUGACACACACACAUAUAUAUGUCAAAUCAUAAUAACAAUCAUUUUCAAAGCAGCUACUUUUUGUAAUUGCCCCAAACUGGACAUUUACAACUCAAAUGAGCAUCUGCAGUAGAAUGGAUAAAUAAGGUGAUAGGCUUAUUAAAUAGAUUUUGUACUAAAAUGAGAAUGAAUGAGCUAUAACUAUAGACAACAUUAUGGAUAAAUUUCACAAAUGACUUUGAGGAGAAAAAAAACCCAUACACAAAUGAAAACAUACUCUGUGAUUCCACGUGCAUAAAGUUAAAAAAUAUGCAAAACUCAUCGAUGGUGUUUGAAAUGAGCAAUGUGAGUACACUUGGGGGAUGAAUAGUGAUUAGAAGGGGGCAUGAGGCAUUUUUUAGAUUCUGCUAAUGUCUUCUUUAUGUGAGUGUUGAUAACACAUGUGUUUGGUUUAAAAUAUUUUAUUGAGCUAGAUAUUGUUCACUUUUUUGUAUAUAGGUUGCAUCCUGAUAAAAUCUGCUGUUAAAAUGUGACCUUCUUACUGCAUAAAGUUAUCGUGCACUCUCCUGCUUUACUCCUUGCAGUGGUUUUAUUAUACUUAAUAACAUAGGUAAACCCACUGGUCAGGUCUCUACUGCUUUGCAGGGCUCCGUGCAGCCUGACUCGGAAUAAUGAAGGCAGCAGAAGAGGUCAGGCUCUGGAAUACAUUGGCUGACUUGGAAUUCCAGCUCUCCCAUGCAUUAACUGUGUAGCCGAGUUACUUAACGUCUCUGUAUCUCAGUUUACCCUGUUGUGAGAUUAACUCUCAGAGUUAUUAUGAUGACUAAAGUGAGAUACUACAUGCUAAGAAAAUGUCAGUUCAUAGUAAAUACUCAAUUAAUAUAACCAGCCUGGUUUCCUUUCCUGGUUUCCUUUCCUUUUCCUGAACACAUCAAGCUUUUUUUUUCCUCUCCGAAGAUCUUCACAGUCUGUUGCCUCUGCUUGGAAUCUUCUCACCCCAUAUCAAAAGCAAAUCUUGUGGAAGAGUAGUUUCCUCUUGACAAAUAGUUCACAGAGGCUAAAUAACGUAUCCAAGGUCAUAUGGUUUGAGUGGCAGAAUUUAAACUUGAACUUUCAUCAUUGGUGUUCUAGUCCAGUGCUCUUUCUGUAGUCACAUGUUCAUUCCUUGAAGGAAAAGACAAGUCCAACUUGUUUUUAUAAAUUUUCUUGUGGCUUAAAAAAGCAUAGGAAGAAUUUUGAUGAAUUGAACAGCUUUCUUGAAUUGACAUGGUCCCUGAAUGAGCUUUCUGUUUGGUUUAGGAAACAAUAUGUAAACCCUCAAAAUAAAAUUACAAAUUUAUGUUUCAAUGCCACAAUAGAAGAGGUUUCAUGCAGCAUGAUUAAUUGCCAUGUGACUGAUACAGACAAUGUUCAAGUUCAGAGCAAUGAGAAAUCUGUGUGGGCUGGGCUGCUCAAGGAAGAUUCCCUAGAGGGGUUGGGACACUGAACUACAUAGGAUGAGGAGGAGCUGGAAGGGAACCUCAAGGGAAAACAACUUCAGACAGUUAACUAACAUGAAGCAAGUGCAGUUGUUCAGGAAGACAGUGGUCCUAGAGGAAGAGUAGUGAUCAUCCAUCCCCUGUGGAAUGUGCCUGAAGAAGGCCCUAGCACUGAGCAGCCUUCCUAACCUCAGCGGCCCCAGGGCAUGGCCUUCAGUGGGAAGUGAGCUUUGAUCUCAGAGCCUCAAGGUCCUCUCUUCUUAUGGAUGUGCUGCAACCUGAGAGACCACACUGGAGAAGUGAGACCCAGGUCGAGGGGAUGAAACGGGAACCAUUUGUCUAAUGGUGACAUCCUAUCUGUGUAAAUCUACUCUAAUAGAGAUUCUGUGUCCUGCACAGCAGCUGCAAGUGAGGAUCCUACCAUGAGAGCAUCUCUGCCCAUCAGCCGCAGCCCAGAGAGAACACCGUGGGAGGUGCACCCUGACUGUAGAGUGCCACUCCUGCAGUUUGGACCUCAUUGCUUUGCCGACCUGAGGCCCAUGCAAGCCCUUCCAUGCGGCAGAGCCUCUUGACGGCUCCUCCCAACUCCCUUAGUCAUGAACUCCCCCUCCCCCUCCAUCUCCAAGGCAGUGCUGGCUUCUCUAUUUUGCUCAGUGUGGGCAUCACUUUCUCUCUGCUUUUAGGAGGCAUCCCUGCAGCAUUUUAGCAGCGUCUCCCAGGGAGUUUGCUAUGGUAUUAAAUCCUGCCUCCCAGGGGCGGGCACCGAUAUUGAUACUUUCCCUUAUACUACUUUAUGUUCUGUCUCCUUGCCUAAGCAGCCUGAGGUCCACUCUCAGGCACAUACCCAGGCUCCUCUCAGCAUGGACCCUCUACAAACACCUGGCAGCUCCCCCACCUUGUCAGACAGCGGCAGCCCCAUGCUGGCCAGGGUUAGGGGAUGUUGUCAGCUCCAGUGGCCUGGGCUGGUUGAGUAGCUCUUUCUUUUUCUGGGGAUCAGUACUCUGAAGUCCCCCAGGUGCCCACAGAAAGAAGUCACCUUCUCUAGUGUCAGCCUUGGCAGUUGUAAGGCCAUGCUGUGGCUCUUCAUCUGCUGUCUAUUUCUGUUUUAUUUUCAUUUGGUUCAAAACAGGGCAUGGAGAAGAAUUCGCCACCCUACAACAGUCUGCUUUUAUCAUGCAACUUGCUAAUAAUACCUACCCUUCCGGGUGGUUAUGAGGGUGAUGAUAUGGAUUGUGUAAAGUGUCAAUAUAUAAUAGAUGACAUGACAGGUACAUUUUAGACCACUCUCACCCCAGCACCAAAUUAAACAUGAGAGUGGAACUACCUGGGCCCCCCAGGGCCUACCAAAAGCCUAGAACUGAUCAGCUACUAGCACCAGAAUGGGGUGAACCAGGACCCAAACCUAGAAGCAAACUUGCCCUCUGGAGGAACCAGGUCUAAGGAGACACAAGCCUUGACAUAAAGGAACAGAGUGGGGGUCUUCUGGUCUGGCCAGCAGAGUCUGCACUCUUAUUAGCUUUUUAUUUUAUUUCAUUUCAUUUCAUUUCAUUUCAUUUCAUUUCAUUUCAUUUCAUUUCAUUUUAUUUUAUUUUAUUUUAUUCUAUUCUACCUAAUAAACUACCUCAA